CCUACGGGCGGCAGCAGUGGGGAAUAUUGCACAAUGGGCGAAAGCCUGAUGCAGCAACGCCGCGUGAGCGAUGAAGGCCUUCGGGUCGUAAAGCUCUGUCCUCAAGGAAGAAAAUGACGGUACUUGAAGCGAAAGCCCCGGCAAACUACGUGCCAGCAGCCGCGGUAAUACGUAGGGGGCUAGCGUUAUCCGGAAUUACUGGGGGUAAAGGGGGCGUAGGUGGUUUCUUAAGUCAGAGGUGAAAGGCUAGGGCUCAACCGGAGUAAGCCUUUGAAACUGGGGAACUUGAGUGCAGGAGAGGCAGGCGGAAUUCCUGGUGUAGCGGUGAAAUGCGUAGAUAUUAGGAGGAACACCAGUGGCGAAGGCGGCCUGCUGGACUGUGACUGACGCUGAGGCACGAAAGCGUGGGGAGCAAACAGGAUUAGAUACCCCUGUAGUC
rnacentral:rRNA from 1 species